rnacentral:rRNA from 1 species
UGGGGAAUAUUGCAUAAUGGGGGAAACCCUGAUGCAGCGACGCCGCGUGAGCGAAGAAGGUUUUCGAAUCGUAAAGCUCUGUCCUAUGAGAAGAUAAUGACGGUAUCAUAGGAGGAAGCCCCGGCUAAAUACGUGCCAGCAGCCGCGGUAAUACGUAUGGGGCGAGCGUUGUCCGGAAUUAUUGGGCGUAAAGGGUACGUAGGCGGUCUAUUAAGUCAGGUGUGAAAGCGUGAGGCUUAACCUCAUUAAGCACUUGAAACUGAUAGACUUGAGUGAAGGAGAGGAAAGUGGAAUUCCUAGUGUAGCGGUGAAAUGCGUAGAUAUUGGGAGGAACACCAGUAGCGAAGGCGGCUUUCUGGACUGCAACUGACACUGAGGCACGAAAGCGUGGGUAGCAAACAGG